UCUGCUUUGACAUGGGACUAGAUGUG
rnacentral:piRNA from 1 species